UACGUAGGGUGCAAGCGUUAAUCGGAAUUACUGGGCGUAAAGCGUGCGCAGGCGGUUUUGUAAGUCUGACGUGAAAUCCCCCGGGCUCAACCUUUGAAUGCCGCUGGAAACUGUCUGGCUAGAGUCCGGGAGGGGCGAGUGGAAUUCCUGGUGUAGCGGUGAAAUGCGCAGAUAUCAGGAGGAACACCGAUGGCGAAGGCAGCUCGCUGGGACGGUACUGACGCUGAGACGCGAAAGCGUGGGGAGCAAACAGG
rnacentral:rRNA from 1 species